AACGAACGCUGGCGGCAUGCCUAACACAUGCAAGUCGAACGAGACCUUCGGGUCUAGUGGCGCACGGGUGCGUAACGCGUGGGAACCUGCCCUUAGGUUCGGAAUAACUCCCCGAAAGGGGUGCUAAUACCGGAUAAUGUCUUCGGACCAAAGAUUUAUCGCCUUUGGAUGGGCCCGCGUUGGAUUAGCUAGUUGGUAGGGUAAAAGCCUACCAAGGCGACGAUCCAUAGCUGGUCUGAGAGGAUGAUCAGCCACACUGGGACUGAGACACGGCCCAGACUCCUACGGGAAGCAGCAGUGGGGAAUAUUGGACAAUGGGCGAAAGCCUGAUCCAGCAAUGCCGCGUGAGUGAUGAAGGCCUUAGGGUUGUAAAGCUCUUUUACCCGGGAUGAUAAUGACAGUACCGGGAGAAGAAGCUCCGGCUAACUCCGUG
rnacentral:rRNA from 1 species